UACGAAGGGGGCUAGCGUUGCUCAGAAUCACUGGGCGUAAAGCGCACGUAGGCGGACUCUUAAGUCGGUGGUGAAAUCCUGGAGCUCAACUCCAGAACUGCCUCCGAUACUGCGAGUCUCCGAGUCCGGGAGAGGUGAGUGGAACUGCGAGUGUAGAGGUGAAAUUCGUAGAUAUUCGCAAGAACACCAGUGGCGAAGGCGGCUCACUGGCCCGGUACUGACGCUGAGGUGCGAAAGCGUGGGGAGCAAACAGG
rnacentral:rRNA from 1 species